CACCGCGAGUUGUCAUGUCGAUGUCGAGUCUCUUGCUCUAUCGUCUCCGAUCGUUCGCAUUAAUAAUGGAAACAAGUUGAAACAUUGUCUGUGCGAUAUCGAAGAUAUCGGGAGUGCCGUUAUUACAUAUCGUUUAUUGUUAUUCGGUGUCUCGAUCGUUUUCUACGGAAAUGAUGCGCGAGUGAAAUUAUGUAUAUGCAUCGAUUUGAUUUCGAUAGUUGAUAAAAUAUCGGAGUAAUUUUCGAUAAUUCCGUGUCUUAAUCUAAAAAAAUCAAAAUUUCUUUUUAAAUAUCUGAACAUAAAAUCCCAAAAUUUCGAUUUGAAGCGGGCAUUCGAAAUUUCGAAUGGAGUGCAAAUCGUGUCGCGCUCGCGAGUGCUGGAAGCGAAAUUCGCGCCUUCGGACGCGACGUGGGGGUCGAAAACAGCGGGGAUUCCGAAGACAAGAGAUCGCCGCGUGCCCUCGCACCUUUGGACGGCGCUACGCCUCGUUUCGCCGAGGAGAGAUAGAGAGAGAGGUAGAAGUGCCCGGGGACGGUGGCCCGAUGAUUUAGAGAAUCCCGCGUGUGAGUGACGCGGUGACGCGCGGACAAUGCGCGGAAUUUCGGUUUUGAAUUUUGCGCGACGAUCUCGUGACAGCGCGUCACGCGGCCGUGGAUGCUGCCGCGCUUGGAUAUGUAGUGCCGUGGGUUGCAAUGACGUUUGGCUUUGACCGAGUGGUCGUUAGAGUGGUCGGUAUCUCUAUCACCUCCUCUCCCGGGAUUGGGAGAUCUGAUUUAUGUUGCACCGGAUGUGCCGAAGCCGCGUCGAAUUUCUCCGCCGCGCCAUCGACCUGGAUUCAUCGUCAUCGAGAUGAUGAUGACUGGACAAAUGGACAUUCUUUCAUCUUUCUGCGCAGAAAAUGACGGAUCUGGAUCCUCUUCCUAUCUCGAAUUCUGAUCUACGCUGAAGGAGGAACGGCUAAUUGAGAACCAAGCUGGUA